GACGAACGCUGGCGGCGUGCUUAACACAUGCAAGUCGAACGGAGUGGCGAACGGGUGAGUAACACGUGGGUGACCUGCCCUGCACUUCGGGAUAAGCCUGGGAAACUGGGUGUAAUAACGGAUAGUGGGGGAUGGGCCCGCGGCCUAUCAGCUUGUUGGUGGGGUAAUGGCCUAUCAAGGCGGCGACGGGUAGCCGGCCUGGGAGUGUGGACGGCCACAGAGGGACUGAGACACGGCCCGUAGUCAUUAGGGAGGCAGGUGUGGAGGAUAGUGCACGAUGGGCGGAAGGCUGAUGCAGCGACGCCGCGUGGGGGAGGACGGCCUUCGGGUUGUAAACUCCUUUCACCAUCGACGCGGUAGAUGAAGAAGAAGCACCGGCUAACUACGUGCCAGCAGCCGCGGUAAUAC
rnacentral:rRNA from 1 species